rnacentral:rRNA from 1 species
GUAGGUGGCAAGCGUUGUCCGGAAUUAUUGGGCGUAAAGCGCGCGCAGGCGGUUCUUUAAGUCUGAUGUGAAAGACCCACGGGCUCAACCGUGGAGGGUCAUUGGAAACUGGAGAACUUGAGUACAGAAGAGGAAAGCGGAAUUCCACGUGUAGCGGUGAAAUGCGUAGAGAUGUGGAGGAACACCAGUGGCGAAGGCGGCUUUCUGGUCUGUAACUGACGCUGAGGCGCGAAAGCGUGGGGAGCAAACAGGAUUAGAUACCCUGGUAGUCCACGCCGUAAACGAUGAGUGCUAAGUGUUAGGGGGUUUCCGCCCCUUAGUGCUGCAGCUAACGCAUUAAGCACUCCGCCUGGGGAGUACGGCCGCAAAGGCUG